UGGCUGUAGUUUAAUUGGCAAAAUACCUGAAUGUGAAUCAGGAGAACAGAGUUCGAAUCUCGCAGUCAACCA
rnacentral:tRNA from 1 species